UACGGAGGGUGCAAGCGUUAUCCGGAUUUACUGGGUUUAAAGGGUGCGCAGGCGGAUAUGUAAGUCAGUGGUGAAAUCUCUAGGCUUAACCUGGAAAUUGCCGUUGAUACUAUAUAUCUUGAAUGCUGUGGAGGUAAGCAGAAUAUGUCAUGUAGCGGUGAAAUGCUUAGAUAUGACAUAGAAUACCUAUUGCGAAGGCAGCUUACUACGCAGAUAUUGACGCUCAUGCACGAAAGCGUGGGGAU
rnacentral:rRNA from 1 species